GAAUGCUGACAUAAGUAACGAUAAAGCGGGUGAAAAGCCCGCUCGCCGGAAGACCAAGGGUUCCUGUCCAACGUUAAUCGGGGCAGGGUGAGUCGACCCCUAAGGCGAGGCCGAAAGGCGUAGUCGAUGGGAAACGGGUUAAUAUUCCCGUACUUGGUGUUACUGCGAAGGGGGGACGGAGAAGGCUAUGUUGGCCGGGCGACGGUUGUCCCGGUUUAAGCGUGUAGGCUGGUUUUCCAGGCAAAUCCGGAAAAUCAAGGCUGAGGCGUGAUGACGAGGCACUACGGUGCUGAAGCAACAAAUGCCCUGCUUCCAGGAAAAGCCUCUAAGCAUCAGGUAACAUCAAAUCGUACCCCAAACCGACACAGGUGGUCAGGUAGAGAAUACCAAGGCGCUUGAGAGAACUCGGGUGAAGGAACUAGGCAAAAUGGUGCCGUAACUUCGGGAGAAGGCACGCUGACACGUAGGUGAAGUGAUUUACUCAUGGAGCUGAAGUCAGUCGAAGAUACCAGCUGGCUGCAACUGUUUAUUAAAAACACAGCACUGUGCAAACACGAAAGUGGACGUAUACGGUGUGACGCCUGCCCGGUGCCGGAAGGUUAAUUGAUGGGGUCAGCGCAAGCGAAGCUCCUGAUCGAAGCCCCGGUAAACGGCGGCCGUAACUAUAACGGUCCUAAGGUAGCGAAAUUCCUUGUCGGGUAAGUUCCGACCUGCACGAAUGGCGUAAUGAUGGCCAGGCUGUCUCCACCCGAGACUCAGUGAAAUUGAACUCGCUGUGAAGAUGCAGUGUACCCGCGGCAAGACGGAAAGACCCCGUGAACCUUUACUAUAGCUUGACACUGAACAUUGAGCCUUGAUGUGUAGGAUAGGUGGGAGGCUUUGAAGUGUGGACGCCAGUCUGCAUGGAGCCGACCUUGAAAUACCACCCUUUAAUGUUUGAUGUUCUAACGUGGACCCGUAAUCCGGGUUGCGGACAGUGUCUGGUGGGUAGUUUGACUGGGGCGGUCUCCUCCUAAAGAGUAACGGAGGAGCACGAAGGUUGGCUAAUCCUGGUCGGACAUCAGGAGGUUAGUGCAAUGGCAUAAGCCAGCUUGACUGCGAGCGUGACGGCGCGAGCAGGUGCGAAAGCAGGUCAUAGUGAUCCGGUGGUUCUGAAUGGAAGGGCCAUCGCUCAACGGAUAAAAGGUACUCCGGGGAUAACAGGCUGAUACCGCCCAAGAGUUCAUAUCGACGGCGGUGUUUGGCACCUCGAUGUCGGCUCAUCACAUCCUGGGGCUGAAGUAGGUCCCAAGGGUAUGGCUGUUCGCCAUUUAAAGUGGUACGCGAGCUGGGUUUAGAACGUCGUGAGACAGUUCGGUCCCUAUCUGCCGUGGGCGCUGGAGAACUGAGGGGGGCUGCUCCUAGUACGAGAGGACCGGAGUGGACGCAUCACUGGUGUUCGGGUUGUCAUGCCAAUGGCACUGCCCGGUAGCUAAAUGCGGAAGAGAUAAGUGCUGAAAGCAUCUAAGCACGAAACUUGCCCCGAGAUGAGUUCUCCCUGAGACUUAGAGUCUCCUGAAGGAACGUUGAAGACGACGACGUUGAUAGGCCGGGUGUGUAAGCGCAGCGAUGCGUUGAGCUAACCGGUACUAAUGAACCGUGAGG
rnacentral:rRNA from 1 species